UUUAGUAUUAUUUGUGUUCUCAACAGUGUCGGUGUAUAAUAAUAUAAUAACGGUUACUUGUUGUGUGGCUUGUAUGAUCGGUGUACGGAAAGCAGCGAGCAAGCAAUUAGCAGCUGUGAAUCCCGAAAAAAGCAAGGCGGCUAAGUAGCAGCCAACCGAAAAAUACUUUCUGCUAUUCAACGUACGUUUUGUUUUUGUGUAUUAACGAAUUUCGAAUUUUGCGUUUUUAUUAUAUUUUCGCGCUAUGGUUUAUUAAUCGAAUGCAAAUUUGAGUGUAGAAGAAAGCAAAAUAAAGAAUUAUAUCGAAACGAAGAAAUAGUAACACGAGUUAGCGAUGAAGUUGUUGUGUAGCCGCUGAAAGCGAAUCAUUGAAACAAGAAAAAGGUGAAAAACGCAAAAAAUUUUGUGGAAGAAGUGUGCAAAUUUCAAGUUCAUAAAAUGUGCAGAAAUUAAAUAUCUAAACCAAAAUGUGUACCAUUAAACUAAAAUAAAGUGUUUGCUAAGGGUCAUUCCCUUCAAGUCAAACGUCCUUUCACGUAAUGCGAAAAACAAAUGUAAAAAAUAUCGUAAAUUUAAACUAAAAAACAACAACAAAGACAAAAAGUUGUGGAAACCAAUUUGCACAAACUUUUUGCAGUUUGAAGCGCAGGACGGCGCAUUAGUGUGUGACGAAUAACAGCGGUAAAUUGCGCUACCCAAAAAGUAAUAAGAAACAACUAUGGCAAAGUACAUAAAAGUGCAUGAAAGAUAAAAAUUAACAACGAAUUCCCAUGUAUAUGUGUGUGCAUACUAACAACAAUAGUAAUCUAACAUAGCAGCAUAGCAUACAACGCUGCGCAACAUCAUCACCAUCCAACAUUGCACCAGGCACAACGUUUCCAGCUCCACUCCGGUUAGAGUAGCCAUCAAAAAUAAAUACAUCAAUCAAGUGCAACGCGCAAACAGGAGCUAACUGGCUGGCUAUAAUAUAAAAACAAAGUAAAGGAACAACAACAACAACAAUAGCAAAGACCAACUAGCAACAUUCAGCGAUUGCAUUUUGAUAGUCUCUCAACAGCGUUGACGACAUAUCUACAUCGCAACUUGCUUACUCCUUGCCUGGAGUAACUUUGCCAUCUUUAUUAAUAUACAACAACAACUGCAGCAACAGCGCACGCAACUUCAAUAUGAUUGCCAUGUGGAGAUACUUUUUAAUCGGUAAGUGUCACAUAAAUUCCAAAACUAAAUCAACACAAAAGUAGUUGCGGUAAUUAACGCAAUAAUUAUUUUGGGAUUCAAAAUUUGGUAUUUGGCGCAUAGAAUUUUCUAUCUUAAGAAAUGUUAAAGCGAAAACUUCCUUUGCUUACAAAGUUGACUAAGUGCGCCUUUUGAUUAGAAAUUGCAUUUUUACAAAAACUCUCAGGAAAUGUAAAUGCUUUAUAUCCGUUCAUAAGACUAGAGAAAUCAUGUGGCAUAUUUUAUAUAUAUCUAAGUGCUAGCAUCAUUUGUAUUUUUUUGAUCAUCAUUAAUCUCCUCAAUUCGGUCUUUCACAUGAAUAUCCGAUAAAAUUAAAACUAAUUAAAAAAAAAAACGUUAUACAGUUCAUAUUUGACCCAUUAGUCCCUUGUGUUGUCUCAAAACUCAAUUAAUCGGAGACUUUGUGGUAGAUAUUAAAUUUUUGUAUGGAAGCGUUCAUUAAAACAUUUCGAACAUCUGCCAACAUAACUACACUAAUGCCUUCAUAUACAUACAUACACAUAUACAUAGAUGCAUAUCCAACUCUACAAGUGCGCACAACGGCGAUCCAUCAAUUUAAAUGAAAUAUCUUUUUAUUGCUGCAGCCGCGGCUUUGUGCACAAUUAACAUAAAUUUGAAUUAAAAACUCACAGUUUUUUCUUUGAGUGCACAUAAUUACAUAAUUUAUAGUGUUGGCUGCGUGUAGUGCGACAAUAAAAAUUUGUUCUACUAAUUUCGGUUUUCGAACAAUUAAAAGAAGGUAAAUACGAGUUUAUAUUCUUCUGAAUUCAUUAAAAUUUAAUUC